rnacentral:rRNA from 1 species
AUGGCGGCCGCGCCCGGCGAUGAGGUUCCGACGCCUUUCGCGGCCCCUGUUCCUCCGGCCACGGCUGUUGCUGGCUGGUCCUCGCUACCGACCGACCUCGUGCGCCGCAUCGCCGACUGCCUCCUCGACACCAACGACGUCGACUGCUAUGUGGACCUCCGCGCCGUCUGCCACAACUGGCGCUCCGCCACCGACGACCCGAGGAGCGACGUCUCCGACCCCCGCUUCCACCCGCGCUUCUGGAUAGUCCUCGACGACGACGGGGCCUUCCAGAGCGACGACAGCCGGGUCUUGGUGAACACCGCCACCGGCCGCUUCCUCCGCAAGAAGCUCCCGCUGCCCCGCCACUACUACGUGGUCACCACCACUGUCAGCGGCUUCUUCGUCCUGGCCGACAGGAGCCCGCCUCACGCUGCUCGCGUCCUCAACCCUCUCAUAGGCGCCGUGGUCCGUUUCAAGGCGCCCCUGCCCCGGGACGCGUCCGUCGCCGUUUUCCUCUUCUGUGGCGGCACCUCGCACAAUCUCACCGUGCUCUGUGACUCAACUCGCAAGUAUUACACAGCAGUUCCUGAGAGCAAACGUUUCGCCCCCGUGACCACCAACGAUGUUAUGUACAAUUACAUGAGGAAGGCGGUGGUCGGCGGCGUGUACGCCAAUGGCGGCGGCUGGGCAUCGGUGGCGCAGUCUAAUGUCAUCAUGGAGAAAUUGUUCAAUUUGUCAGAGCAGCUUAAGGUCCAUUUCGUCAAGUUUUUCUCUGUCGACCCUCUUGGUCAUCGCGGCGAUGUCAGGUGUUUCCUACUGGAUUUUGGUGGAGAAGUCUUUUUCAUCACAAAGGCAUGGGGACGCGUUAUGGUUCUCGGCAUCGAACCAACGGAGAAACAGAUGCUCGCGCCUGUGGAGACCGUGGGCAGGUAUGCCAUCUUCGUCGGCCAUCAAAGGUGCCUGGUUGUUGAUGCCGCCAAGUUCCCAUCCGUUGAGGCAGACUGCGUCUACUACACUCUAGACGUUGGUAAAUUUGCUUUCAUCUGGAAGCACAGCAUCAGUGAUGGGAAAGAUGAGAGGGUGUUUGACGCCAUCGAUUUCGUCAAGGAGAACAAGCGGUUUGUCCCUGUCGGUGCCCGUCCUUUCACCAUCAUCCAGCUUCUCUCGAGCUACACCAUCAACCUCAGUGAUUCUGAACUGGCCUCAAAACAAAGCUCGUAA